rnacentral:rRNA from 1 species
GACGCAUCACUGGUGUUCGGGUUGUCAUGCCAAUGGCACUGCCCGGUAGCUAAAUGCGGAAGAGAUAAGUGCUGAAAGCAUCUAAGCACGAAACUUGCCCCGAGAUGAGUUCUCCCUGAGACUUUAAGUCUCCUGAAGGAACGUURAAGACGAYGACGUUGAUAGGCCGGGUGUGUAAGCGCAGCGAUGCGUUGAGCUAACCGGUACUAAUGAACCGUGAGGCUUAACCUUACAACGCCGAAG